rnacentral:lncRNA from 13 species
UAUAGACUUCCUUCAUGUUGUGCAGACUUAUCCAGGACAGAGUCACUGGCGUUGGACUCCUAAAGGACAAACGUCAGAGAGGGGUUAUGUGAGUCAUACAGUCAUCACCACCCAAAGGGCAUGAAGGCACAGAGGCACCUGAGCACCACAUUUCACCCAAACUACUGCGGAUGAUGUAGAUGUGCCACAUUCAGCUUUCAUUCAGUCCU